rnacentral:lncRNA from 1 species
CUCUACUAUUUUUCUUUUUCUUGGUUUUAGAUCGAUCGAGCCCAGAAGAAAAAUUCCAAACCUAAAUCAUCUAAUUCAAUGCCAUUCCCACAUUAUAAUGAUUUGUAUAGAUAAAAACGGAUAUGAAAUGGGCUUAUUCCCUUCCAAGUUCCUCUUCUUCUUUUAUCAAAGGACUUUCCAGUUAGAUUGAACUAAGGGGACUCAUAUCCCUCGCCAAGUUUGGAGAUCUACAAAUCCCCAAUCCAAAUGAGACGCAUUCCCAAUUUUUCGAUCUGCUACAAGAUAGCGGAAUACACGUGGCGAGAAAUGAAUGGGGAAGAUAAAAAGAAGAAUGUUGGAGGGAAAGGUUGCUAGCAUUCUUCUUACAACUGAUAGGGAAGGAUUGGAGCAUUGAAAAUCUAUCAUUGGCUUGAUGAGAGCGAAAACAAGGGACCAAACUCUGUUUGGAUUCCUUGGAAAGCAAUGACUGAAGACUCAAAAUUUUACUUUUCUAUGAAGAACUCGAUGAGAAGUUGGCAACGAAGAAAUGCAGGAGUUUGCAAAACAUGGUAUUUCAAAUAUUGCUUUUAAUUAUAUGUUAUUUUUAAU